rnacentral:tRNA from 1 species
GGUGCGGUAGCCAAGACAGCAAGGCAAGAGUCUGCAAAACUCUUAUGCGGCGGUGCAAAUCCGCCCCGCACCU